GAAGGCGAGGGGUAGAAGAGCACAGGGGCUUUUGAUAAACCCUUCUGCCCACAUUCUACCCCCAG
rnacentral:miRNA from 1 species